rnacentral:rRNA from 1 species
CGGAGGGUGCAAGCGUUAAUCGGAAUUACUGGGCGUAAAGCGCACGCAGGUGGCUGAGUCAGUCGAUUGUGAAAGCCCUGGGCUUAACCUGGGAAUUGCAGUCGAUACUACUCAGCUAGAGUAUGGGAGAGGGUAGCGGAAUUCCCGGUGUAGCGGUGAAAUGCGUAGACAUCGGGAGGAACAUCAGUGGCGAAGGCGGCUACCUGGCCCAAUACUGACACUCAGGUGCGACAGCGUGGGGAGCAAACAGGAUUAGAUACCCUGGUAGUCCACGCCGUAAACGAUGAGAACUAGAUGUCGGGGGGGAUUAGCCCCUCGGUGUCGUAGCUAACGCGCUAAGUUCUCCGCCUGGGGAGUACGGCCGCAAGGUUG